rnacentral:rRNA from 1 species
AGAAGUUCGAUUUGGGAGGUUGUGCCCUUGAGGCGUGGCUUCCGGAGCUAACGCGUUAAAUCGACCGCCUGGGGAGUACGGCCGCAAGGUUAAAACUCAAAUGAAUUGACGGGGGCCCGCACAAGCGGUGGAGCAUGUGGUUUAAUUCGAUGCAACGCGAAGAACCUUACCUGGUCUUGACAUCCACAGAACUUUCCAGAGAUGGAUUGGUGCCUUCGGGAACUGUGAGACAGGUGCUGCAUGGCUGUCGUCAGCUCGUGUUGUGAAAUGUUGGGUUAAGUCCCGCAACGAGCGCAACCCUUAUCCUUUGUUGCCAGCGGUUAGGCCGGGAACUCAAAGGAGACUGCCAGUGAUAAACUGGAGGAAGGUGGGGAUGACGUCAAGUCAUCAUGGCCCUUACGACCAGGGCUACACACGUGCUACAAUGGCGCAUACAAAGAGAAGCGACCUCGCGAGAGCAAGCGGACCUCAUAAAGUGCGUCGUAGUCCGGAUUGGAGUCUGCAACUCGACUCCAUGAAGUCGGAAUCGCUAGUAAUCGUAGAUCAGAAUGCUACGGUGAAUACGUUCCCGGGCCUUGUACACACCGCCCGUCACACCAUGGGAGUGGGUUGCAAAAGAAGUAGGUAGCUUAACCUUCGGGAGGGCGCUUACCACUUUGUGAUUCAUGACUGGGGUGAAGUCUAGGGGGACCCCCCCAAAAAAAAAGGAGGACCCCCCCGCGGUUU